UUAAAUCUUAUGCUGUCUGUCCUUAUUCCU
rnacentral:piRNA from 1 species